AUUGAACGCUGGCGGCAGGCCUAACACAUGCAAGUCGAGCGAGCGGCGGACGGGUGAGUAAUGUAUGGGGAACUGCCCGAUAGAGGGGGAUAACUACUGGAAACGGUGGCUAAUACCGCAUACUAUCGGAUGAACCCAUAUGGGAUUAGCUAGUAGGUGGGGUAAAGGCUCACCUAGGCGACGAUCUCUAGCUGGUCUGAGAGGAUGACCAGCCACACUGGAACGGAGACACGGCCCAGACUCCUACGGGAGGCAGCAGUGGGGAAUAUUCGGCAAUGGACGAAAGUCUGACGGAGCAACGCCGCGUGAGUGAAGAAGGUUUUCGGAUUGUAAAGCUCUUUUGGUAGGGAAGCGUUAUCUACACAGAAAGCCCCGGCUAACUACGUGCCAGCAGCCGCGGUAAUAC
rnacentral:rRNA from 1 species